rnacentral:rRNA from 1 species
CCCUUAGAUGUUCUGGGCCGCACGCGCGCUACACUGACGGAGGCAGCGAGCGUGUCCUUCGCCGGCAGGUGCGGGCAAUCUUGCGAGUCUCCGUCGUGCUGGGGAUAGAUGGUUGCAAUUGUCGAUCUUGAACGAGGAAUUCCUAGUAAGCGCAAGUCAACAGCUUGCGUUGAUUACGUCCCUGCCCUUUGUACACACCGCCCGUCGCUACUACUGAUUGGAUGUUUAAGCGAGGUUCUCGAACUGCUAGCGACUUAGCUUCGGUGAGGUCGCAGUGUGGGAAGUGAACCUAGCUUUGGUGUCUAGAGGAAGUAAAAGUCGUAACA